AGGAUGAACGCUGGCGGCGUGCCUAAUACAUGCAAGUCGAACGAGGUCUUCGGACCGAGUGGCGAACGGGUGAGUAACACGUUGGUACCUACCCCGAAGUGGGAAUAACUGCCCGAAAGGGUGGCUAAUACCGCAUAAAUACCGCAAGGUUAAAGCAGUAAUGCGCUUCGGGAGGGGCCUGCGUCCCAUUAGCUAGUUGGUAGGGUAAUGGCCUACCAAGGCGACGAUGGGUAGCUGGAUCGAGAGGUUGACCAGCCACACUGGGACUGAGAUACGGCCCAGACUCCUACGGGAGGCAGCAGUAAGGAAUCUUCCACAAUGGACGAAAGUCUGAUGGAGCAAACGCCGCGUGCAGGAUGACGGCCUUCGGGUUGUAAACUGCUUUUAUAUGGGUAAGAUUAUGACGGUACCAUAUGAAUAAGGACCGGACUAACUAACGUGCCAGCAGCCGC
rnacentral:rRNA from 1 species